rnacentral:rRNA from 1 species
UUAAGUUAAUAAGGGCGCACGGUGGAUGCCUUGGCACUAGGAGCCGACGAAGGACGUGACAAACGACGAUAUGCCUUGGGUAGCUGUAAGUAAGCGAUGAUCCAGGGAUUUCCGAAUGGGGGAACCCAACAGGUAAUACCUGUUACCUACAUCUGUUAAGGAUGUGAGGAGGAAGACGCAGUGAACUGAAACAUCUAAGUAGCUGCAGGAAGAGAAAGCAAAAGCGAUUGCCUUAGUAGCGGCGAGCGAAACGGCAGAAGGGCAAACCGAAGAGUUUACUCUUCGGGGUUGUAGGACUGCAAUGUGGACUCAAAGAUUAUAGAAGAAUGAUUUGGGAAGAUCAGCCAAAGAGAGUAAUAGCCUCGUAUUUAAAAUAGUCUUUGUACUUAGCAGUAUCCUGAGUACGGCGGGACACGUGAAAUCCCGUCGGAAUCUGGGAGGACCAUCUCCCAACCCUAAAUACUCCCUAGUGACCGAUAGUGAACCAGUACCGUGAGGGAAAGGUGAAAAGCACCCCGGGAGGGGAGUGAAAUAGAACCUGAAACCGUGUGCCUACAACAAGUUCGAGCCCGUUAAUGGGUGAGAGCGUGCCUUUUGUAGAAUGAACCGGCGAGUUACGUUAUGAUGCGAGGUUAAGUUGAAGAGACGGAGCCGUAGGGAAACCGAGUCUGAAUAGGGCGCCUUAGUAUCAUGACGUAGACCCGAAACCAUGUGACCUACCCAUGAGCAGGUUGAAGGUGCGGUAAGACGCACUGGAGGACCGAACCAGGGCACGUUGAAAAGUGCUUGGAUGACUUGUGGGUAGCGGAGAAAUUCCAAACGAACUUGGAGAUAGCUGGUUCUCUCCGAAAUAGCUUUAGGGCUAGCGUCGACAUUAGAGAUUCUUGGAGGUAGAGCACUGUUUGGGUGAGGGGUCCAUCCCGGAUUACCAAUCUCAGAUAAACUCCGAAUGCCAAUGAAUUAUGGUCGGCAGUCAGACUGCGAGUGCUAAGAUCCGUAGUCGAAAGGGAAACAGCCCAGACCACCAGCUAAGGUCCCAAAAUAAUUGUUAAGUGGAAAAGGAUGUGGGGUUGCACAGACAACUAGGAUGUUAGCUUAGAAGCAGCUAUUCAUUCAAAGAGUGCGUAAUAGCUCACUAGUCGAGUGACCCUGCGCCGAAAAUGUACCGGGGCUAAAACAAUUUACCGAAGCUGUGGAUACCUUUAUAGGUAUGGUAGGAGAGCGUUCUAUGUGUGAUGAAGGUAUACCGUGAGGAGUGCUGGAACGCAUAGAAGUGAGAAUGCCGGUAUGAGUAGCGAAAGACAGGUGAGAAUCCUGUCCACCGUAAGACUAAGGUUUCCAGGGGAAGGCUCGUCCGCCCUGGGUUAGUCGGGACCUAAGGAGAGACCGAAAGGUGUAUCCGAUGGACAACAGGUUGAUAUUCCUGUACUAGAGUAUGUAGUGAUGGAGGGACGCAGUAGGCUAACUAAAGCAGACGAUUGGAAGAGUCUGUCUAAGCAGUGAGGUGUGAAUUGAGUCAAAUGCUUAAUUCUAUAACAUUGAGCUGUGAUGGGGAGCGAAGUUUAGUAGCGAAGUUAGUGACGUCACACUGCCAAGAAAAGCUUCUAGCGUUUAAACAUACUCUACCCGUACCGCAAACCGACACAGGUAGUCGAGGCGAGUAGCCUCAGGUGAGCGAGAGAACUCUCGUUAAGGAACUCGGCAAAAUGACCCCGUAACUUCGGGAGAAGGGGUGCUGACUUAAAGUCAGCCGCAGUGAAUAGACCCAAGCAACUGUUUAUCAAAAACACAGCUCUCUGCUAAAUCGUAAGAUGAUGUAUAGGGGGUGACGCCUGCCCGGUGCUGGAAGGUUAAGAGGAGUGCUUAGCGUAAGCGAAGGUAUGAAUUGAAGCCCCAGUAAACGGCGGCCGUAACUAUAACGGUCCUAAGGUAGCGAAAUUCCUUGUCGGGUAAGUUCCGACCCGCACGAAAGGCGUAAUGAUUUGGGCACUGUCUCAACGAGAGACUCGGUGAAAUUUUAGUACCUGUGAAGAUGCAGGUUACCCGCGACAGGACGGAAAGACCCCAUGGAGCUUUACUGCAGUUUGAUAUUGAGUGUCUGUACCACAUGUACAGGAUAGGUAGGAGUCUAAGAGAUCGGGACGCCAGUUUCGAAGGAGACGCUGUUGGGAUACUACCCUUGUGUUAUGGCCACUCUAACCCAGAUAGGUGAUCCCUAUCGGAGACAGUGUCUGACGGGCAGUUUGACUGGGGCGGUCGCCUCCUAAAAGGUAACGGAGGCGCCCAAAGGUUCCCUCAGAAUGGUUGGAAAUCAUUCGCAGAGUGUAAAGGUAUAAGGGAGCUUGACUGCGAGAGCUACAACUCGAGCAGGGACGAAAGUCGGGCUUAGUGAUCCGGUGGUUCCGUAUGGAAGGGCCAUCGCUCAACGGAUAAAAGCUACCCUGGGGAUAACAGGCUUAUCUCCCCCAAGAGUUCACAUCGACGGGGAGGUUUGGCACCUCGAUGUCGGCUCGUCGCAUCCUGGGGCUGUAGUCGGUCCCAAGGGUUGGGCUGUUCGCCCAUUAAAGCGGCACGCGAGCUGGGUUCAGAACGUCGUGAGACAGUUCGGUCCCUAUCCGUCGCGGGCGUAGGAAAUUUGAGAGGAUCUGCUCCUAGUACGAGAGGACCAGAGUGGACUUACCGCUGGUGUACCAGUUGUCUUGCCAAAGGCAUCGCUGGGUAGCUAUGUAGGGAAGGGAUAAACGCUGAAAGCAUCUAAGUGUGAAACCCACCUCAAGAUGAGAUUUCCCAUGAUUAUAUAUCAGUAAGAGCCCUGAGAGAUGAUCAGGUAGAUAGGUUAGAAGUGGAAGUGUGGCGACACAUGUAGCGGACUAAUACUAAUAGCUCGAGGACUUAUCCAA